rnacentral:lncRNA from 1 species
UAUUUUCUAAAAUUUCUUAAAAUUCUUACAGUUUUUUGCUAUUAAAGAAAUUAACAUUCGUAAAAAUACUUAUUUACAUUAAACUACAUUUAAAUAUGUAAUGGGAGGAGUAUCAAGAAAAAAUUCGAAUUUGAAUCAAAGAGGUUUGAGUGAAAAUUUCAGAUGCAAUUCGAACAUCAACGAUUUUAUUCGAUUAGAUUUAAUAUGUACUUAGCACACAUUUAACCAUAAAUAAACUUUAAUGCAUUAUUAAGAUAUAGAUUAAUUCAUAUCAAAUUAAUAAAGAUGAAUCAAGAAUGAGAUUUACAAUAAGAAUGAACAAGUAUAACAUGCUCUUUUUCCUUUUAAUUUAUUGAAAAGAGAUGGAAUAUAUUCGUUGAAACAGAUCUCUAUUCGUUUGUGUUUAUUUAAAAUUUGUUUUGAUCCAUUUAGAUUCAUUUUUACAAGAUCAAAUUGAAUGUAGUUAUUUUCUAUUUAUCACAGAAUAUGUAUCUGAAUUGUAAUAAUGAAAUGUUCGAUUUGAAAUCUAUUCGUUCACGUACGUAUAUCUAAUUGUAUGUUGAAGUAAUCUUGUCAGUUAAAUGUCAGAAAGUUGAGAUCAUUGAUAAUUGUUGUAUUUUGCAUCGAAUAAUUUUACGAUUUUGAAAGAAUUAUAAAUAUGUUUAUAUAGUAUAUAUCAAAAAUUUAAGAAUUGGAAGAGAAAUGAUCUUUCCUUAGAUUCUGAAUAUAAUUAUUCGCUCAACGUUUUGCUAAUACAUAGUAUAUGUAGCAAAGAUUUUAUGUAUAUACAGGGUAUUUCAGAUUUACUGUGAUACCUGUUAAUGACAGAUUUCUGAGAUUUUAAGACGAUAACCUUAAUACCAAAAUGUCGAAGUUACAAUAAUUCUUAUCUCUAAAUGAGAAAAGUUUAAAGUUGGUAAAUCAAAUUGUUUGAAAUUCGCACACUUAUAUAUAGCUCAUCGUACCGUGCAGAUGCUCUCUAUGCAGAUGUAUGCAAAAUCAAAUAAAAAAUAAAAAUCAUUUAGAAACACUACUACUGCGUGCAGUGUGCUAUAUCUGAACGUGCAUCGAGUAGUUUACACAACUUUAAAUCUGUCUUAUUUAAAAAUUAUUGUAACCUGGACAUUUAGGAUUUUCGUCACAAAAUGAUUUCAGGAAUCUACUUUUAUUAAUGGCUAUAAUGAAUAAGUCUGGGACACUCUAUACUAAUUAGCAGAGCAAACUCUAGUUGUGAUAAUUGAUUACUUAAUAUAAUUUAUUGCUUGUAUAAAGUGUAAAUUGCACUUUAAUUCUAAGAUUAAAACGAUAAAUAUAAGUUGAUUAUGAAAUAAUAUUUCAAUUUUUAUUGUUUAUCAAAAUCAUAUAUAAAGAUUUACUUAUUUCUAUGGAUUAUAAACUCAUAAACAUUAAUUCUCAAUCUUUGAAAUUGUUAAAGUUACAUGUAAGAAAAUGAAUAGUUAUUGAAUUAAAAUUUGAGAACAGUAAAUUCUUAGACCGUAUAAAUGUUUAACAUAUCGAUAAAGUUAAGAAGGCCUAAACGGUCGCAGCUAGAUCUUACCGAUUAUAAUUUUAUUAAAAAUAUAUUUAAUAAUCUCCGCUCAUAAACUGCGCGCCGACAAAUUCGUCAGAUUUAAAACAUAAUUAGGGAAAGGUGGGGCAUGACUGGCACCCUAACUUUAAUUUAAGAUUGUCACUCAACAUUUAAAUUAAAAAAAUUUUUUAAAUGCAAUAAAUAGAUAAAUACGUCUAGAAUCAAAA